rnacentral:rRNA from 1 species
AGUGAACGCUGGCGGUAGGCCUAACACAUGCAAGCCGAACGGCAGCACAGUAAGGGCUUGCUCUUACGGGUGGCGAGUGGCGGACGGGUGAGGAAUACAUCGGAAUCUACUUUUUCGUGGGGGAUAACGUAGGGAAACUUACGCUAAUACCGCAUACGACCUACGGGUGAAAGCAGGGGAUCUUCGGACCUUGCGCGAUUGAAUGAGCCGAUGUCGGAUUAGCUAGUUGGCGGGGUAAAGGCCCACCAAGGCGACGAUCCGUAGCUGGUCUGAGAGGAUGAUCAGCCACACUGGAACUGAGACACGGUCCAGACUCCUACGGGAGGCAGCAGUGGGGAAUAUUGGACAAUGGGCGCAAGCCUGAUCCAGCCAUACCGCGUGGGUGAAGAAGGCCUUCGGGUUGUAAAGCCCUUUUGUUGGGAAAGAAAAGCAGCAGGUUAAUACCCCGCUGUUCUGACGGUACCCAAAGAAUAAGCACCGGCUAACUUCGUG